ensembl:lncRNA
AGUCUCUAUGGGGCGCUAUGGGGCACUAUGGGGCAGGUCCCUAUGGGGCGCUGUGGGGCGCUGUGGGGUGACUGUGUGUCCCAUAGGGAAUGCGGCGCUUUGAGGCCCUAUGGGACGCUAUGGGGCAGGUCCCUAUGGGGCGCUGUGGGGCGCUGUGGGGUGACUGUGUGCCCCAUAGGGAAUGCGGCGCUUUGAGGCCCUAUGGGGCGCUAUGGGGCAGGUCUCUAUGGGGCGCUAUGGGGCACUAUGGGGCAGGUCCCUAUGGGGCGCUAUGGGGUGACUGUGUGCCCCAUAGGGAAUGCGGCGCUUUGAGACCCUAUGGGGCGCUGUGGGGCAGGUCUCUAUGGGGUGCUAUGGGGCAGGUCUCUAUGGGGCGCUAUGGGGCACUAAGAGGCAGGUCUCUAUGGGGCGCUGUGGGGCGCUGUGGGGCGCUGUGGGGUGACUGUGUGCCCCAUAGGGAAUGCGGCGCUUUGAGGCCCUAUGGGGCGCUGUGGGGCAGGUCUCUAUGGGUCUCUAUGGGGCGCUGUGGGGUGACUGUGUGCCCCAUAGGGAAUGCGGCGCUUUGAGGCCCUAUGGGGCAGGUCUCUAUGGAGUGCUGUGGGGCACUAUGGGGCGCUAUGGGGUGCUGUGGGGUGACUGUGUGCCCCAUAGGGAAUGCGGCGCUUUGAGGCCCUAUGGGGCGCUGUGGGGCGCUAUGGGG